AGAUGGGCAGGAGGGACGGGAGGCGAGAGAUGCAAGGAAGACAGGCCUCGAGAUGGAUGGAGAUUCCCUCAGUGGGAGCAUGAAUACAGUUCCCCAUAUCACAGAUCAUGUGGCAGUGGAGAAACCAUAGGUGUCAGUGCAUCUCAGGAGCAAGGCAUGGGCCUCACCUUGAGAAAACCACCUCGAUUCGAUUAUGGUCUUUCUUUUGCCAGGGUUUCUCUGUAUAGCCCUGGCUGUCCUGGAACUCACUCUGUAGACCAGGCUGGCCUCAAACUCAGAAAUCUGCCUGCCUCUGCCUCCCGAGUGCUGGGAUUAAAGGUGUGCGCUACCAUGCCCGGCCAGACAGAUUCUUGAGGGCAGUUUUAGUCGAGCCAGAGAUGGCUGCAGGUGUAGAUGCCUGUUAAAGGCCUUGCCUAGGAUGCCUGGGGUCCCAGACAGUUCUCCCAGCACUGCAUAGCAGAGAGAAGGCACCAUGACCAAACCAGGGAGAGGAAGUCAGAGGAUGGACAGAAGGACAAAGGCAGAGGAAACUCUCAAGACUGCUGGUUUCCCAUUUAUCUCUGCUGUUCCCUUGAAUACAUAUGCUGCCUCAGCCCCGACUCCUCUCCACGCUUUUAUACUCGUACUCUGUCAGAAACAGAGAUUUCCUGCAGUGACGUGAGGGUUGGAGUAAGGUAGGGCUACGGACACUAAAAGACCAUGGCAGAGCAUCACAUCCUGACUUUCGAAGCUUUGGCAGGGUCAACAAGUUGUCACAUCGAAAAGUUCUGGAGAACCCAGCCUGUGGACGGAUUCAUGGACGCUGUCUGAAGAUUUAAGAGCUGGCUGAUUUCAACCUCUUCCCACUAUUACACAGAUGUCCACUGUUUCAUGGGAAUAUCAAUUAGGCUUGUUUUGGUUGCAAGGCUGUUUGAGGAAUGCUUCUCCAGGACACCUUGUGAUCAGUCGUUUUCUGUAACCAGUGCUCUAUAAGCUCCAGAAUGGCCAGAGAGCAUAUUUACAACCUGCCUGUUUGAACCUGUUGACUCAGGGCAAAUCCUCAGUUAUCUGGGCCAGUAUGAAAGAUUCUACUCAACUGCAGUUGGGCACAGGCCUCAUCUCUCAAAGCUCCAUCUUUGUAAAUCGGGAUUCGAAGGGAUAGAGAGAGUUACUUUGGGAAGGUUCAGCAAGACAGCCCAUGCACGAGACAUCAUGGCCUUUGCCAGGUUCUCUUAAACCUAGUUAGUGCUCCAAUGCAGAGCUCACUCUCACGGAGCCUCAGAGCCCUGGGCUGGUCCCACAGUGCACGGGGCAGCAGGCUCAGGCUCAGGCUUUGAGGCAGGCAGCAUCCAGCUCGACGCCCUUGGAGCGUUUCCUCAGUCUGACACCUCACAGUGUAAGUACGCUGUGCAGCAUGUCCUCCUACAUUCUGUGGUGUUCCGAAGGAAAAGGAGUAAUGAUGACAGCAAACAUUCAGGACUAUUACAUGCUGCUGAAAAAAAAAUUGAAGUAAGAGAAAUUAGAAAGUUUAUAAAAAAUCCAAUUGGGUUAAAUGAAGAAAAUACAUUUGACUUUUGUAACUAGGAAGGAACAAAUUGAUGUUCUUUUUAAAAGCAUGAAAUUUAUAAUUGUGAGACAAAGACAAUAUGUCUAAAAAAUAAUGGUCAAUAAAUUUGUUUAAAUUAAAA
rnacentral:lncRNA from 1 species